AGAGUUUGAUCCUGGCUCAGGACGAACGCUGGCGGCGUGCCUAACACAUGCAAGUCGAACGGGACCGGGGGCAACUUCGGUUCAGUGGCGGACGGGUGCGUAACACGUGAGGAACAUGACCUUCGGCGGGGGAUAGCCGGCCCAACGGCCGGGUAAUACCGCGUACGACCUUUCGGGGACAUCCCUGGAUGGUGAAAGCAGCAAUGCGCCGAUGGAGUGCCUCGCGGCCUAUCAGCUAGUUGGUGGGGUAACGGCCUACCAAGGCAACGACGGGUAGCUGGUCUGAGAGGAUGGCCAGCCACAUUGGGACUGAGACACGGCCCAGACUCCUACGGGAGGCAGCAGUGGGGAAUAUUGCGCAAUGGACGAAAGUCUGACGCAGCGACGCCGCGUGUGGGAUGACGGUCUUCGGAUUGUAAACCACUGUCGGGAGGGACGAAUACGCCGCAAGGCGGGUGACGGUACCUCCAAAGGAAGCACCGGCUAACUCCGUGCCAGCAGCCGCGGUAAUACGGAGGGUGCGAGCGUUGUCCGGAAUCACUGGGCGUAAAGGGCGCGUAGGCGGCGCGGUAAGCGUGCGGUGAAAGUCCGGGGCUCAACCCCGGAUCGGCCGUCGGGACUGUCGGGCUGGAGCACGGUAGGGGCAGGCGGAAUUCCGGGUGUAGCGGUGGAAUGCGUAGAGAUCCGGAAGAACACCGGUGGCGAAGGCGGCCUGCUGGGCCGGGAGUGUCUUAACCGACACGUGCUGACGCUGAGGCGCGACAGCGUGGGGAGCAAACAGGAUUAGAUACCCCCGUAGUCC
rnacentral:rRNA from 1 species